rnacentral:rRNA from 1 species
AGCAGCCGCGGUAAUUCCAGCUCCAAUAGCGUAUAUUAAAGUUGUUGCAGUUAAAAAGCUCGUAGUUGAAUUUCGGAAUCUGUCCGUCGGUCGGGCUUCACUGUCCGUACUGGCGUGAUGGGUUUCUACCUUCUGAAUAACCGGCAUGUCAUUAAUUUGGUGCGUCGGGGAAGCAGAACUAUUACCUUGAAAAAAUUAGAGUGCUUAAAGCAGGCUAUCGCCUGAAUAGAUUAGCAUGGAAUAAUAAAAUAGGACGGCAUGGUUCUAUUUUGUUGGUUUCUAGGAUCACCGUAAUGAUUAAUAGGGAUAGUUGGGGGCAUUAGUAUUCAAUUGUCAGAGGUGAAAUUCUUGGAUUUAUUGAAGACUAACUACUGCGAAAGCAUUUGCCAAGGAUGUUUUCAUUAAUCAAGAACGAAAGUUAGGGGAUCGAAGACGAUCAGAUACCGUCGUAGUCUUAACCAUAAACUAUGCCGACUAGGGAUCGGAUGAUGUUAAUUUUUAAUGACUCAUUCGGCGUCCG